CUUGGUGAAACUUCCCCUUGUGAAUCUAGGAUUUUCUGAUAUGGGGUGGGAUACCCACCACCAUUUGGUGCCCCAGUACCUCGGGAACUCUGUUGACGUGGGGCUUGCUCCUUAUAUCUGCAGUUAACUUCAGAGAGGACCCCGGCAGUUUCUGACCAAUGCUUUCAGGAGCUCUGUGUUUGCCUGUGUGUCAAAGGUAUUUUGUAAAGAUGUCGGCUGUUAGGUGGUCUUUUGUCACUCACAGAAGACACAAUGUGAAGGAAGACUCCUUUCCUGGGAGCAUGAGGGUUUCAGCUGCCGUUGCCACUGACCCUCAUCAUGCAACUGACUCCUGAGAGUCCACAGUGUGGGAUCUAAAAACUGGAAGUAGCAUUCCUGCCAUGCACAGAGCCUUGAACAUCUCAUACAGAAGGUUCCAGAAAACAAGUUCUCAAGCAGACUAUCUGAUGCAAUUGUCUUCUGCUAUCAGUACGGUGAAGGACAAAACUCAAAACAAAGUUCCAAACCCUUGAAAGGAGGUGGCGAGUUUCUUAACAACCUGGUCUGUGUUUGAGAUCAAAGGUCACCGUGGUCUAGGACCUGAGCAGAAAGUAAGGUUAAAAAGAUGCAGUUAAUGACUUACCACCUGAAAAAUGAUUUGUGCUCCAGUUAGAGUGAGACACCAUCCAUGUUACUUUUCUAUCUGCAAGUGGGCAUUAUGAGAAAUGCUGACUCCAGAGAUUGCUUUGUGUGCAUUUGACAAGUGAUGAAAACUGUUUUCAUAGAUCAAGAAUCACUUAAAUGUUGUUUUUACAAUUAUUUUCUGCUUGUCUUGCUCUAGUCUUCCUUCUUAUUCCUCUGACUCAGUCCUUGGUAGUCUCCAUGCUGGUGACAGCCAUUCUUGUUUUCUGAUGUUACCUGUGAUUGCACAACUUAACGUGCUAGUGCCAUGAAGGAUAAAAAAAAGCCACAACUCCCCAUAGACUCAAUCAUUAGCAAUUCCCUUAUCUUCUUCUGCAUUCCCUUUCUUCUGAUGUUCCCAUCUUCCAAAUCUGCUGAGGCAUCCAAUGUCGUAACUGCAAUCAUCAGUUUCAUGUGUCAGAGUUUGCAGAUUUUUUUUUUCAAGUGACCAUUCACAGGCUCACAAGUUCUUCUCUGUACUGUAUUCUUAUACUUUCCAUGUUUGUUAGCUUACACAGAGAGAAUACAAUACACUGGAGAUACAUGGAUUAAUGCUGAACUGGCUGAGGGAAAGUCACCUGAAUAUCCAUCAUUAUUCUGCAUUUAAAAUCUUAGGUGAAAGAAAGCUGAAAGAGUUCCUUUCUGUCCUGGUGACAACAGCCCCUUCAUGUGCUUUCCUGAGACAAAAUGUAAAGAUUCUUUCUAGGACCAAAAUUACUGUGGUUUCUUGUGGUGCAAAGACAGCCACUGUGUUAAUCCCACCCAUCAUGGUUUUGCUCUUCAGAUAUUUCUCUGAAGGAGAAAGUCGUCACUUUAUAAACCCAACUCACUCAUCUUCUUUUACUCUUUGUAUGCAUAUACAUACAUAGAUGUCUCUAUAUUCUAUAUGCACAAGCAUAUGUGCAUUUUUGCCCUCUCCGAGGGCUGUUGUCAACAGCAGUAGCAGAAGUUCCCCCACUCUUUCAGCUUGAACUUCUCAUGGGUCAGUAAGUCUUGGUCGUAUUUGUUCCUUGUGCUGAUGGAAAAGCCACAAGCUUUCCUGGCUAACAAGCCUGUUUGUAUCACACUGAUAUUUGAAUGAAGGCUAAAUAAAA
ensembl:lncRNA